rnacentral:tRNA from 1 species
GAGGUUAUGGCUCAGCGUUAGAGCGCUCGCCUUACAUGUGCAAGGCCCUGGGUUCAAUCCUCAGUACCACA